CUCAACAGCAACAUUGUACCCUAUCAGGCAAGACGGUCCUUGUGUCUGCAGGAGCUGGUGGAACUGUGAUUCUGACUCCUGCCAUUCUGGCUUCACUGGGGUUCACUUCAGCUGGAAUAGCAGCAGGCUCCAUCGCUGCCAAACUGAUGUCAUAUUUAGCAAUCGCUAGUGGAGGUGGAGUUGUAGCAGGAGGUCUCGUAGCAACCUUGCAGUCCUGGAGUGCAGCAGGUAUGUCAUGGGCUGCCACUGCAUUAUUUGGCGGUGUUGGUGGAGCAGCGGCUUGGGUGCUCUCAACUGUGUGUAACGUGACUGUGGUUUAUGAAGAUUAACACGUAAAAAAACACAAACUGACCUACAAAUGUUUUCUCCUGUGACAAAUUUUAAUCGCCUGGAUGAAACGUUAUUCUUAUGUGUGAAUGUCGAACACUGAGAUUAAAGCAUAUUUUGAGAAUUAAGUUACAAAAAUGGUUCAUAAAAAUUUCAUUCAGAUUUUAUCCAUCAUUAAAAACAAAAACAAAAAACAACUGAUAUGGUGCCUUUAUUCUCUUCAUUAAUUCAAUGUGAAAAUUAAAAGUCAUGCAAAAAUAAGUGUUUCCUUGCUUUUAUUGUAAACAACUUAAUGUAAAGCACAGUAACAAUACCAUAUGUUUCUAUAGUCCAUAAAUCUAUCACUCUUACAGAGCCACAACUCUGACGGGAGACUAUGUAGGACAGGGGUGUCAAACUCCAGUCCUUGAGGGCCGGUGUCCUGAAACUUUUCCAUGUGUCCCUGAUGCAAC
ensembl:lncRNA